GUGGGAAUCCAAUGUAAAAUUUUGUCCCAUAAAUUUGAAAACUGCUGGUGUAGUACAAAAGGCAUGGAUGUUGGAAUGAAGGCUGGAGCCAAAUCCUGGCUCGCCCCCUUACUAGUCACAUAGCAAAUCCUGGCUCACCCCUCACUAGUCACGUAUCGAAUCCUGGCUCGCCCCUCACUGGUCACGUAUCGAAUCCUGGCUCGCCCCUCACUGGUCACGUAUCGAAUCCUGGCUCGCCCCUCACUGGUCACGUAUCGAAUCCUGGCUGACCCCUUACUGGUCACGUAUCGAAUCCUGGCUCGCCCCUCACUUGUCACGUAUCGAAUCCUGGCUCACCCCCUUACUAGUCACAUAUCAAAUCCUGGUUCGCCCACUUACUAGUCACAUAUCGAAUCCUGGCUCGCCCCUCACUAGCCACAUAUCAAAUCCUGUCUGGCUCACCCCUCACUAGCCACAUAUCAAAUCCUGGCUCACCCCUCACUAGCCACAUAUCAAAUCCUGGCUCACCCCUCACUAGUCACAUAUCAAAUCGUGGCUCAUCCCUCACUAGUCACAUAUCAAAUCCUGGCUCACCCCUCACUAGUCACAUAUCAAAUCCUGUCUCAUCCCUCACUAGUCACAUAUCAAAUCUUGGCUAACCCCUUACUAGUCACAUCGAAUCCUGGCUCGCCCCCUUACUAGUCACAUACCAAAUCCUGGCUCGUCCCCUUACUAGUCACAUACCAAAUCCUGGCUGACCCCUUACGAGUCACAUAUCGAAUCCUGGCUCACCCCUCACUAGUCACAUAUCAAAUCCUGGCUUGUCCCCUUGCUAGUCACGUAUCAAAUCCUGGCCGACCCCUUACUAGUCCCAUAUGAAAUCCUGGCUGACCCCUCACUAGUCACAUAUCAAAUCCUGGCUUGUCCCCUUGCUAGUCACAUAUCAAAUCCUGGCCGACCCCUUACUAGUCCCGUAUCAAAUCCUGGCUGACCCCUUACUAGUCACACAUUGAAUCCUGGCUCACCCCUCACUAGGCACAUAUCCUUGGGCCUGUCACUUACCCUCUUUGAGCCUCCAAGUCCCAUCCACUAAACGGAGCUCAACUUAGCAGGAAUUUCAUCCGAUGAGAUAAUGUAUCCAGGACACAGUAAAUACGCAGUUACCUUUUCCUUCCCACCCCACCAACAAAUACAGAUAGCACUGAAUCGCCCAGGCCCUCUCAUGACCUAAGAUACCACAUGCAGGCCACACGGCAGCUGGGCUGUGCAGCCAGGGCCCAGGGCUACCCCAACUAACCUCC
rnacentral:lncRNA from 1 species